rnacentral:lncRNA from 1 species
GGAGGUUGAUUAAGGAGGUGCGAGAAAGAUUGAUCUAGGAAGAGCGAGAGAGGAUGCAUCAGAAGGAACGAGAGAGGUUGACUGAGGAGUAGCGGGAUAAGUUGAUCGAAGAUAUGUGACAAAAGUGUAUCUGAGAUGUGAUUGAGGUAAUUAUAGGCUUGGUUUAAACAAAUUGUAUUGUGUGUUGUUGUUGAUUGUGUAUUUAAAUUUA